rnacentral:rRNA from 1 species
UACGAAGGGUGCAAACGUUGCUCGGAAUUAUUGGGCGUAAAGCGCACGUAGGCGGCUUAGCAAGUUGGAUGUGAAAGCCCUCAGCUUAACCAAGGAAGUGCAUCCAAAACUGCUGAGCUUGAGUAGUUAAGAGGAUCGCGGAAUUCCCGGUGUAGAGGUGAAAUUCGUAGAUAUCGGGAGGAACACCAGUGGCGAAGGCGGCGAUCUGGGAACAUACUGACGCUGAGGUGCGAAAGCGUGGGGAGCAAACAGG